AACGCUGGCGGCGUGCCUAAUACAUGCAAGUCGAACGAACGGAUAAAGAGCUUGCUCUUUUGAAGUUAGUGGCGGACGGGUGAGUAACACGUGGGUAACCUGCCUCACAGCUGGGGAUAACAUCGAGAAAUCGAUGCUAAUACCGAAUGUGCUGAACAUCAUAAGAUGUUCAAGUGAAAGACGGUUUCGGCUGUCACUGUGAGAUGGACCCGCGCUGGAUUAGCUAGUUGGUAAGGUAAUGGCUUACCAAGGCGACGAUCCAUAGCCGACCUGAGAGGGUGAUCGGCCACAUUGGGACUGAGACACGGCCCAAACUCCUACGGGAGACAGCAGUAGGGAAUCUUCGGCAAUGGACGAAAGUCUGACCGAGCAACGCCGCGUGAGCGAAGAAGGCCUUCGGUCGUAAAGCUCUGUUGUUAGAGAAGAACAUGGGUGAGAGUAACUGUUCACCCCUUGACGGUAUCUAACCAGAAAGCCACGGCUAACUACGUG
rnacentral:rRNA from 1 species